AUACGUAGGUGACAAGCGUUAUCCGGAUUUACUGGGUGUAAAGGGCGUGUAGGCGGUUUAGCAAGUCAGAAGUGAAAUUCCCGGGCUUAACUUGGGCGCUGCUUCUGAAACUGCUUUACUUGAGUGCUGGAGAGGAUAGCGGAAUUCCUAGUGUAGCGGUAAAAUGCGCAGAUAUUAGGAGGAACACCGGUGGCGAAGGCGGCUAUCUGGACAGUAACUGACGCUGAGGCGCGAAAGCACGGGGAGCAAACAGGAUUAGAUACCCUGGUAGUCCGUGCCGUAAACGAUGAAUACUAGGUGUAGGGGGUAUCGACUCCCUCUGUGCCGCAGUUAACACAUUAAGUAUUCCACCUGGGGAGUACGGCCGCAAGGUUGAAACUCAAAUGAAUUGGCGGGG
rnacentral:rRNA from 1 species